UCUUUGAAAAUUUUGUUCGAGGCCUGAUUUUAAUUUUAACAUGUCUUUAGUAGAUGCUUCUCUAAACAAAAGAUAUCUUUUAUGGUGUGUUAAUGAGCACGUUAAUUUUCGAAUUCCGGAAAUUCUCUCGAUUGCCUCGUUGUUUCAAAUCGACAUCUCGUGGACAGAACAACCAUCAGAAAAGCCUUUUUUAGUUGUGGAGUUUGAAACAGAACAAGAUGUAAGGAAACUGAUGUCAAGAACAGUGUUAGUUAGGUAAGCAUACUAGAA